UACAGAGGUCUCAAGCGUUGUUCGGAUUCAUUGGGCGUAAAGGGUGCGUAGGCGGCGCGGUAAGUCGGGUGUGAAAUCUCGGAGCUUAACUCCGAAACUGCAUUCGAUAUUGCCGUGCUUGAGGACUGGAGAGGAGACUGGAAUUUACGGUGUAGCGGUGAAAUGCGUAGAUAUCGUAAGGAAGACCAGUGGCGAAGGCGGGUCUCUGGACAGUUCCUGACACUGAGGCACGAAGGCCAGGGGAGCAAACGGG
rnacentral:rRNA from 1 species